GAUGAACGCUGGCGGCGUGCCUAAUACAUGCAAGUCGAGCGAAUGGAUUAAGAGCUUGCUCUUAUGAAGUUAGCGGCGGACGGGUGAGUAACACGUGGGUAACCUGCCCAUAAGACUGGGAUAACUCCGGGAAACCGGGGCUAAUACCGGAUAACAUUUUGAACCGCAUGGUUCGAAAUUGAAAGGCGGCUUCGGCUGUCACUUAUGGAUGGACCCGCGUCGCAUUAGCUAGUUGGUGAGGUAACGGCUCACCAAGGCAACGAUGCGUAGCCGACCUGGUAGGGUGAUCGGCCACGCGGGGACUGAGACACGGCCCAGACUCCUACGGGAGGCAACAGUAGGGAAUCUUCCGCAAUGGACGAAAGUCUGACGGGGCAACGCCGCGUGAGUGAUGAAGGCUUUCGGGUCGUAAAACUCUGUUGUUAGGGAAGAACAAGUGCUAGUUGAAUAAGCUGGCACCUUGACGGUACCUAACCAGAAAGCCACGGCUAACUACGUGCCAGCCGCCGCAGUAA
rnacentral:rRNA from 1 species